GAUCCCUGCAUACCUGAGGCCUUUCAAAGCUUAAAAGGACUGUGCAACUCUGAGGAAAAAGUGCAGAAAAAAGCAAGCUCUAGUAAACUAGUGAGAUGGCAACUCAUCAGCUGUCAUCAGUUGACAUCCAGAAGAUGCCUUAAUAACUUGAAGAAAAUGAAUGCUGUUUUGAAACUUAAUCUCUUUCCUGUGAGAAGACAUUGCAGGGAAGAAAAAAACAACCUUGGGCAUUAUUUGUCAGGGAUAAUGCUACAAAUAUCCAUAUAGAGAGAGCCUGGCUACGUCCUUGUACAACCAUCAGUCCAUGUCUGCUGGAAGUAGGCAGGAUUUCUGAUGUUUGAAAUCCUUUCAGGUACUUGAAAAAGUCUGCCCUUGUUUCUGAGUGAACAUGUUGCCAUGAUUAAAUAAGUUCAUCCUGAAACAGGAUUUAGGUCGUUAGCUCUGUAUCUGCCCUUUGCCGGUGCAUGACCUUGACUAUAAGAGUUUUGUUUUGAGGUUUAACAGGAAAGCUGUGCUGACUGAUGUAGAAGCUGAGGUGUGUUUUAAAGACUGAGGUCUUCUGAUGUGAAAAUGGAAACGCUCGCCUUCAGAAAGAGGUCUUUGGUUCAGUCUGUACUGUGGUCCCUUUAGUUUUAUGAGCUUGACUGUGGAAGCUGUGCUUCGUGUCUCCUUCCCUUCCUCUCUUUACCCCCGUGCGUGCUGUGCUUGUACCUUUCUCUGCAGUAACUUGGCUCUGUGAGCUGUAACAAAGGAAAAGAGCAUGUAUUACUUGAGCAGCUAACAUCUUCUAACACAGGAUGACAGAAGCCUGAUUAAGCUGAGAAAGGAUGUCGUAUUAAGAAUAAAUAAAGAAUGAUUUGAAGAUAGAUUCCUUAAACCUGCCAUUGUAAUAUGAGGAAGAGACGGAUGAAUUGCCACCUCAUAAACUCAUAGCUCAUCUGCACCUCAGCUGACACUGAUUUCUGGGCAGCUGCUAGACAGAUGCCGUUCUCGCCUGUGUUCCUCCUCCUCUAGAGGAGGAUGAAACCGCCGCCAGGGAAAGAGAACUUUGCUGCGUGUGUUACGCUCAGCGGGGCUGUGAAAAGAUUCGGUCAUGAGCAGCGCAGACAGCGUACCACGAGGCAGGCUGUUGGAGUGAGCCGCUGGCCUCGGAGGUACAAGUGCCUUGAACUCAGGCUCAGCAGGUGGCACUAUUGAGCUUGUCAUUUUAGCGCGGCUGCUUCCUCACUACGUUACCCCUCCUGCAGUUUGCUUUUUUAUUAAUUAAAUUAAUUAUUUUAAUAUCACGGUGAUGUAUUCUGCAUGAGUCUCAAAAUGCAAGUCAUGGCAGGGUAUUCUUGUACCACUUUGAGUCGACAGCAGCAGAAAUGAGUGCGAGAAUGAGGUUUCUUACAUUGAUCGUUCUGGAAGUACAUCUCUUUCAGCUGCAAAAAUAAAGAAGUUCUGAUAUUGUGUGAAUUCUAUUUGUAUGAAGUCUGUGUUUCUAAUAACUAAUCUGAUUCCUUCCUUAUUUGAAAGAAGUUUUAUGCACUUAGAUGGAAUUCAUAAUGGCACAGCAAAAGAGGCUUAAGUCCUCAAAAUUAUUUGUGCUCCAAACAUAAGAGAGGUCCUACAAGGGGAACCUGCAUUGUCUUUAUGAAGGUUUGCCCCAGCCUUGUAAGUAGUUGCGUCUGAGGCCGCCAGUUAUCAACGCUUUCAGUGACACUUUGCAAAAGUACUAAUGAAUGCAGUGCUUUUUUGAUAUGGACUAUUGUGAUUACUCUAGCGAAUGCUUUUUUGUUUCCUUGUACCUAUCAAAAUGGUUUCCAGUGGUUGAAUGCUCAUAUUUUGCCCCGCUGACUCACAAGCAAGAGAUGUUAGAUGUCUUUGAUGUAAAAAUGAACAUAACAAAGCUCUAAUCUUCUACUAAUAUUGAUUUGUUACAGCAGAGUUUGAGUUUAAAGGAGCUAACUUCCUGAUUCAUUCUUGACUGUCUGUCUGAAUCAGCUUCCUCUAUUUUAAAAGAAGUAUAAGCUAUUUGAGAUUUGUGUAUGUCUUUUUUACUUGAAAAGAGCAGGGUCAAGGGCAGAUGAUGACUAGGAUUAUUACCUCUGCUAACAAUUCCUCAGUGUAAUUUGUAGGAGAUAUUCUAUGUUACAGAAAGUAGAAAGCUCAUCUCUUGAAAAUGCUUACAACUGGAAUGUUAGUAUUCUUAGCAGGUAGAUAAUGACAUCCUUCAUACAUCCUCAUUUAUGUGCAUAACACUUUGCAAGUAGGCUUCACAAUGCAAUUAAAUAUGCCUGGGUUCAGCGUUUCCAUCCAGGGGUUACCUCCGUUGUUUUUUUUGUAGAUCACAUUCUCUCAGGAGUAAACUGUGCCCAUGACAAAAUACUACGCAGAUGUGUCUGAGUUAUUCCUGUGCAUGUACUUUGAUGUCUUACUCAUUAUUUUUAACAUCUUUUUUUCUGCAAAUGUCAGCUGUAUUCGUAUGCCCAAUAAACUGAAGUUAG